GAAAAAGAACCUGAAACCGUGUACGUACAAGCAGUGGGAGCACGCUUAGGCGUGUGACUGCGUACCUUUUGUAUAAUGGGUCAGCGACUUAUAUUCUGUAGCAAGGUUAACCGAAUAGGGGAGCCGAAGGGAAACCGAGUCUUAACUGGGCGUUAAGUUGCAGGGUAUAGACCCGAAACCCGGUGAUCUAGCCAUGGGCAGGUUGAAGGUUGGGUAACACUAACUGGAGGACCGAACCGACUAAUGUUGAAAAAUUAGCGGAUGACUUGUGGCUGGGGGUGAAAGGCCAAUCAAACCGGGAGAUAGCUGGUUCUCCCCGAAAGCUAUUUAGGUAGCGCCUCGUGAAUUCAUCUCCGGGGGUAGAGCACUGUUUCGGCAAGGGGGUCAUCCCGACUUACCAACCCGAUGCAAACUGCGAAUACCGGAGAAUGUUAUCACGGGAGACACACGGCGGGUGCUAACGUCCGUCGUGAAGAGGGAAACAACCCAGACCGCCAGCUAAGGUCCCAAAGUCAUGGUUAAGUGGGAAACGAUGUGGGAAGGCCCAGACAGCCAGGAUGUUGGCUUAGAAGCAGCCAUCAUUUAAAGAAAGCGUAAUAGCUCACUGGUCGAGUCGGCCUGCGCGGAAGAUGUAACGGGGCUAAACCAUGCACCGAAGCUGCGGCAGCGACGCUUAUGCGUUGUUGGGUAGGGGAGCGUUCUGUAAGCCUGUGAAGGUGUGCUGUGAGGCAUGCUGGAGGUAUCAGAAGUGCGAAUGCUGACAUAAGUAACGAUAAAGCGGGUGAAAAGCCCGCUCGCCGGAAGACCAAGGGUUCCUGUCCAACGUUAAUCGGGGCAGGGUGAGUCGACCCCUAAGGCGAGGCCGAAAGGCGUAGUCGAUGGGAAACAGGUUAAUAUUCCUGUACUUGGUGUUACUGCGAAGGGGGGACGGAGAAGGCUAUGUUGGCCGGGCGACGGUUGUCCCGGUUUAAGCGUGUAGGCUGGUUUUCCAGGCAAAUCCGGAAAAUCAAGGCUGAGGCGUGAUGACGAGGCACUACGGUGCUGAAGCAACAAAUGCCCUGCUUCCAGGAAAAGCCUCUAAGCAUCAGGUAACAUCAAAUCGUACCCCAAACCGACACAGGUGGUCAGGUAGAGAAUACCAAGGCGCUUGAGAGAACUCGGGUGAAGGAACUAGGCAAAAUGGUGCCGUAACUUCGGGAGAAGGCACGCUGAUAUGUAGGUGAAGUCCCUUGCGGAUGGAGCUGAAAUCAGUCGAAGAUACCAGCUGGCUGCAACUGUUUAUUAAAAACACAGCACUGUGCAAACACGAAAGUGGACGUAUACGGUGUGACGCCUGCCCGGUGCCGGAAGGUUAAUUGAUGGGGUCAGCGCAAGCGAAGCUCUUGAUCGAAGCCCCGGUAAACGGCGGCCGUAACUAUAACGGUCCUAAGGUAGCGAAAUUCCUUGUCGGGUAAGUUCCGACCUGCACGAAUGGCGUAAUGAUGGCCAGGCUGUCUCCACCCGAGACUCAGUGAAAUUGAACUCGCUGUGAAGAUGCAGUGUACCCGCGGCAAGACGGAAAGACCCCGUGAACCUUUACUAUAGCUUGACACUGAACAUUGAGCCUUGAUGUGUAGGAUAGGUGGGAGGCUUUGAAGUGUGGACGCCAGUCUGCAUGGAGCCGACCUUGAAAUACCACCCUUUAAUGUUUGAUGUUCUAACGUGGACCCGUGAUCCGGGUUGCGGACAGUGUCUGGUGGGUAGUUUGACUGGGGCGGUCUCCUCCUAAAGAGUAACGGAGGAGCACGAAGGUUGGCUAAUCCUGGUCGGACAUCAGGAGGUUAGUGCAAUGGCAUAAGCCAGCUUGACUGCGAGCGUGACGGCGCGAGCAGGUGCGAAAGCAGGUCAUAGUGAUCCGGUGGUUCUGAAUGGAAGGGCCAUCGCUCAACGGAUAAAAGGUACUCCGGGGAUAACAGGCUGAUACCGCCCAAGAGUUCAUAUCGACGGCGGUGUUUGGCACCUCGAUGUCGGCUCAUCACAUCCUGGGGCUGAAGUAGGUCCCAAGGGUAUGGCUGUUCGCCAUUUAAAGUGGUACGCGAGCUGGGUUUAGAACGUCGUGAGACAGUUCGGUCCCUAUCUGCCGUGGGCGCUGGAGAACUGAGGGGGGCUGCUCCUAGUACGAGAGGACCGGAGUGGACGCAUCACUGGUGUUCGGGUUGUCAUGCCAAUGGCACUGCCCGGUAGCUAAAUGCGGAAGAGAUAAGUGCUGAAAGCAUCUAAGCACGAAACUUGCC
rnacentral:rRNA from 1 species